UUUAAUGUUGAAAAAUUAUCGGAUGAGUUGUGUUUAGGGGUGAAAGGCCAAUCAAGCCGGGAAAUAGCUGGUUCUCCGCGAAAUCUAUUGAGGUAGAGCGUCGGAUGAUUGCCCGUUCGGGGGUAGAGCACUGGAUGGAUGCGGGGGUCGCGAGAUCUACCAAUUCUAACCAAACUCCGAAUACCAACGAGUCUAGUCCGGCAGACAGACGGCGGGUGCUAAGGUCCGUCGUCAAAAGGGAAACAGCCCUAACCUACAGCUAAGGUCCCCAAGUCACGUCUAAGUGGGAAAGCAUGUGGGAUUUCCAAAACAACCAGGAGGUUGGCUUAGAAGCAGCCAUCCUUUAAAGAAAGCGUAACAGCUCACUGGUCUAAACAAGAGAUCCUGCGGCGAAGAUGUAACGGGGCUCAAGACGUGCACCGAAGCUUAGGGUUCAGAUCUUUGAUCUGAGCGGUAGCGGAGCGUUCCGUAGGCCGUUGAAGCGGGAGGGUAACCGACCGUGGAGGUAUCGGAAGUGCGAAUGCAGACAUGAGUAGCGAUUAAGAGGGUGAGAUGCCCUCUCGCCGAAAUUCCAAGGGUUCCUGCUUAAAGCUAAUCUGAGCAGGGUAAGCCGGCCCCUAAGACGAGCCCGAAGGGGGUAGUCGAUGGGAACCACGUUAAUAUUCGUGGGCCUGGUGGUGUGUGACGGAUGGCGUAACUUGUUCGGCCUGACUGGAUUGGUCCGGGCAGGGAAGUUGUCCCAGGAAAUAGCCUCACCGUAUAGACCGUACCCUAAACCGACACAGGUGGAAUGGUAGAGUAUACCAAGGCGUUUGAGAGAAGUAUCCUGAAGGAACUCGGCAAAUUGCCUCCGUACCUUCGGAAGAAGGAGGCCCCACAUAUGCGCAAGCACUUGUGGGGGGCACAGGCCAGGGGGUAGCGACUGUUUAGCAAAAACACAGGGCUCUGCUAAGUCGGCUUCAAGACGACGUAUAGGGCCUGACGCCUGCCCGGUGCCUGAAGGUUAAGAGGAGGAGUGCAAGCUCUGAAUUGAAGCCCAGGUAAACGGCGGCCGUAACUAUAACGGUCCUAAGGUAGCGAAAUUCCUUGUCGGGUAAGUUCCGACCUGCACGAAUGGCGUAACGACUUCCCCACUGUCUCCAGGAUAUGCUCAGCGAAAUUGAAUUCUCCGUGAAGAUGCGGAGUACCCGCGGUUAGACGGAAAGACCCCGUGCACCUUUACUGCAGCUUCAGAGUGGCAUUAGGAAAGAACUGUGUAGCAUAGGUGGGAGGCUUUGAAGCGACGGCGCCAGCUGUCGUGGAGCCAUAGGUGAAAUACCACCCUGUUGUUUUCUGAUGUCUAACCUCGCACCGUUAUCCGGUGUUGGGACCCUCUGUGGCGGGUAGUUUGACUGGGGCGGUCGCCUCCUAAAGAGUAACGGAGGCGCGCGAUGGUAGGCUCAGGACGGUUGGAAACCGUCUGCAAGAGUGCAAUGGCAUAAGCCUGCC
rnacentral:rRNA from 1 species